rnacentral:rRNA from 1 species
AGCAGCCGCGGUAAUUCCAGCUCCAAUAGCGUAUAUUAAAGUUGUUGCAGUUAAAAAGCUCGUAGUUGAAUUUCGGGAUUGACGUGAUGGUCAUGCCUUAAGGGGUAUGAACUGUUACUGUUGAUUUCUCACCUUCUGGAGAAACUUGAUGUCCUUUAUUGGGUGUCUUGCGGAUCCAGGACCUUUACCUUGAAAAAAUUAGAGUGUUUAAAGCAGGCAUUUUUGCUCGAAUACAUUAGCAUGGAAUAAUAGAAUAGGACGGCAUGGUUCUAUUUUGUUGGUUUCUAGGAUCACCGUAAUGAUUAAUAGGGAUAGUUGGGGGCAUUAGUAUUCAAUUGUCAGAGGUGAAAUUCUUGGAUUUAUUGAAGACUAACUACUGCGAAAGCAUUUGCCAAGGAUGUUUUCAUUAAUCAAGAACGAAAGUUAGGGGAUCGAAGACGAUCAGAUACC